UCCAUUCUAUUUAGGUUGAGGGUUUAUAUUUGGGUUUAUGGUUUAUAUUUGAGUUUAGGGUUUAGUGAUUAUGGUUUAAGGCUAAGUAUAUAGGGGUUUAUGGUAGGAUUGUUAUAUGGUUAAUUAUUGAGGGGUUUAGGGUUUAGUGAUUAAAGUUUAGGAUGUAGUACUUCCUCUCAAGUCUAUUUUCCUUUCCAUUUUAUAUAGUAUAGGUAAUAGUACAAAAUAUUAUAUAUUAUUUUCAUAUUUUAAUUUAAUCUAAAAUAUUUUACAUUUAGAUUUGGGUUUAGGAAUUCAAGUUUAGGGUUUAGUAUUUCAGUCUUGGAGGUGUGUUGGGUUUAGGGUUGGAGGUGGGUUGGGGUUGAAUUACAAGAGUAGUAUUCAUUCCAUGUUAGAUAGUAUAGAAUAAUAGUUGAAAAUUUAUAUAUUUAUUAUUUUUUGUUGUUUUCUUUAAAAUAUUAUAACUUAAAUUAAAUUUAACAUUUGGGUUUGGGUUUAAAGACUCGAGUUUAUGGUUUAGUAUUAGGUAUGCAUGUUAGGUUUAGAGUUUAUGAUUUUGUUUCGUACGAAGAUAUUCUGUUUGUUCUAUCUGACGUAGUACUUUUAUAAAUGUCACACAAAUUACACAUGCAGUAAUUACUGAGAUUGGUGAGAGGAAAAAUAAGGAAUAUAUUUUGGUUGCUAAAGGAUACACUUAAACGAUUUUUGGUGUUUUGCUGCGAGUGCCUUCAGUGAUGCCAAUAAAUAAUGGGGAAUUGGGUGGUAUGGCUACAAAAAAAAAAAAACAAUAUUUAGAUCAAUAGCCAAAUAACCUAGAAUACAUUGAUACAAAGUGUAUUUUAUAUAAUAUUACACUUCUAACCUUCAACGCAACCGGCUCAACCUGCAAUUUAAAUGAAAAAAAAAUUAUUCAAAAGAGCAAAAGUUAAACGUGGUAAUCAGAAAGUCACACAUUUCUUCUUCUUCCUAACGUCUUACAUGGUUUUCAUUCCACAUUAUUGUUAUACUAUACAAUUGAUUUUACAUUUACUUUGUUAUAUGGAUACUAACACAUUUAUCUUUAGCUUUUGUUUCUCAGAUUACAAAUGGAAGAUUAGACUGCCAAGUAGAUUGUUUGAAACUGGAUUUGAGCAAUUUGGUGAAUAUAUUCUCAUUUAUAUGUAAUGAUGCAAUGUGUAUAUAAGUGGAAUAGAUCGUGUCUACGUAAAAUGGAAAGACCAUUCAUGUGAAAUGGAAUAUUUGAUCUUUACUAUUUGUUGUAUUCUAUUAUAAUUGCAGGACAUAGACAUUUCAUGAUAUCAUAGACAUUUCAUGAUACUAUUUGGGGUUAGCAUUAACUUUUUUCAUGAUAUCAUAGAUAUUUCAUAAUUUCACCAAUAUGUACUAUACUAUUUACUUAGUUCCAUUCUAUUUAGGUUGAGGGUUUAUAUUUGGGUUUAGGGUUUAUAUUUGGGUUUAGGGAUUAGUGAUUAUGGUUUAAGGUUAAGUAUAUAAGGGUUUAUGGUAGGAUUGUUAUAUGGUUAAUUAUUGAGGGGUUUAGGGUUUAGUGAUUAGAGUUUAGGGUGUACUACUUCCUCUCAAGUCUAUUUUCCUUUCCAUUUUAUAUAGUAUAGGUGAUAGUACAAAAUAUUAUAUAUUAUUUUCAUAUUUUAAUUUAAUCUAAAAUAUUUUACAUUAAGAUUUAGGUUUAGGAAUUCAAGUUUAGGGUUUAGUAUUUCAGUCUUGGAGGUGUGUUGGGUUUAGGGUUGGAGGUGGGUUGGGGUUGAAUUACAAGAGUAGUAUUCAUUCCAUGUUAGAUAGUAUAGAAUAAUAGUUCAAAAUUUAUAUAUUUAUUAUUUUUUGUUGUUUUCUUUAAAAUAUUAUAACUUUAAAUUAAAUUUAACAUUUGGGUUUGGGUUUAGAGACUCGAGUUUAUGGUUUAGUAUUUAGGUGUGCAGGUUAGGUUUAGAGUUUAU
rnacentral:lncRNA from 1 species